GCUGGGUGCAGUGGCACACGCCUGUAAUCCCAGUAACUCAGGAGGCUGAGGAAGGAGGAUUGCGAGUUCAAAGCCAGCCUCAGCAACAGUGAGGCACUAAGCAACUCAGUGAGACCCUGUCUCUA
rnacentral:sRNA from 1 species